GUGCUUGCUUCAUCCAGCAGCACAUAUUUUAAAAUUGGAAUGAUACAGGGAUUAGUGUGGCCCCUUGCACAAGAGUGACAUGCCAAUUUGUGAAGCAUUCCAUAUUUUU
rnacentral:snRNA from 1 species